UACGUAGGGGGCGAGCGUUGUCCGGAUUUACUGGGUGUAAAGGGCGUGUAGCCGGGCUGACAAGUCAGAUGUGAAAUCCGGGGGCUCAACCCCCGAACUGCAUUUGAAACUGUUGGUCUUGAGUAUCGGAGAGGCAGGCGGAAUUCCUAGUGUAGCGGUGAAAUGCGUAGAUAUUAGGAGGAACACCAGUGGCGAAGGCGGCCUGCUGGACGACAACUGACGGUGAGGCGCGAAAGCGUGGGGAGCAAACAGG
rnacentral:rRNA from 1 species